rnacentral:rRNA from 1 species
UACGGGGGGAGCAAGCGUUGUUCGGAUUUACUGGGCGUAAAGGGCGCGUAGGCGGUCGUGACAAGUCACUUGUGAAAUCUCCGGGCUUAACCCGGAAAGGUCAGCCGAUACUGCAGGGCUAGAGUGCAGAAGGGGCAACUGGAAUUCUCGGUGUAGCGGUGAAAUGCGUAGAUAUCGAGAGGAACACCUGCGGCGAAGGCGGGUUGCUGGGCUGACACUGACGCUGAGGCGCGAAAGCUAGGGGAGCGAACGGG